AUUGAACGCUGGCGGCAGGCUUAACACAUGCAAGUCGAGCGGAGCGAGGGUGCUUGCACCUUAGCUUAGCGGCGGACGGGUGAGCAAUGCUUAGGAAUCUGCCUAUUAGUGGGGGACAACAUUCCGAAAGGAAUGCUAAUACCGCAUACGCCCUACGGGGGAAAGCAGGGGAUCUUCGGACCUUGCGAUAAUAGAUGAGCCUAAGUCGGAUUAGCUAGUUGGGGGGGUAAAGGCCUACCAAGGCGACGAUCUGUAGCGGGUCUGAGAGGAUGAUCCGCCACACUGGGACUGAGACACGGACCAGACUCCUACGGGAGGCAGCAGUGGGGAAUAUUGGACAAUGGGCGGAAGCCUGAUCCAGCCAUGCCGCGUGUGUGAAGAAGGCCUUUUGGUUGUAAAGCACUUUAAGCGAGGAGGAGGAGCUCUAGGUUAAUACCCUAGAUGCUUGGACGUUACUCGCAGAAUAAGCACCGGCUAACUCUGUGCCAGCAGCCGCCGUAAGAC
rnacentral:rRNA from 1 species